CCAGACUCCUACGGGAGGCAGCAGUGGGGGAUAUUGCACAAUGGGGGGAACCCUGAUGCAGCGACGCCGCGUGGGUGAAGGAGUGCUUCGGCAUGUAAAGCCCUAUCGGCAGGGAAGAAGCAAGACGGUACCUGACUAAGAAGCCCCGGCUAACUACGUGCCAGCAGCCGCGGUAAUACGUAGGGGGCAGGCGUUAUCCGGAUUUACUGGGGGUAAAGGGGGCGCAGACGGCGAUGCAAGCCCGAUGUGAAAGCCCGGGGCUCAACCCCGGGACUGCAUUGGGAACUGGCGUGCUGGAGUGCCGGAGGGGCAGGCGGAAUUCCUGGUGUAGCGGUGAAAUGCGUAGAUAUCAGGAGGAACACCGGUGGCGAAGGCGGCCUGCUGGACGGAUACUGACGCUGAGGCCCGAAAGCGUGGGGAGCGAACAGGAUUAGAUACCCUCGUACCA
rnacentral:rRNA from 1 species